GUCAGCCCCAUGCAGGUUCCCUGGUUGUCAGUUCAGUGUCUGUGAGCCCCUAUGAGCCCAGGUUAGUUGAUUCUGUGAAGUGUCUUGUAGUAUCCUUUACCCUUCUGGAUCCUACAAACCUUUCUCCCCCUCUUAUGCAAGAUUCCCCAAGUUCCACCUAAUGUUUGGCUGUGGGUCUGCAUCUGUUUCCACCAGUUCCUGAAUGAAGCCUCUCUGAGGAUGAUUGUUCUAAG